GUCCGCAUAGCGUAGUGGUUUAUCGCGCCUGUCUUACACACAGGAGGUCCCAGGUUCGAUCCCUGGUGCGAACA